rnacentral:rRNA from 1 species
CACGACAUUAGUCCGCCAGAAAAUUACGAGCAUAUUAGCCUAAAACUCAAAAGACUUGACGGUGUCCCAACCUACCUAGAGGAGCCUGUUACAUAAUCGAUAUUCCCCGAUCAACCCUACCACCCCUAGAACCACUCCCAGCCUAUAUACCGCCGUCGCCAGCCCACCUUUUAAAAGAUACAAAGUAGGCACAAUAGUAUAUUACUAACACGUCAGGUCAAGGUGUAGCUAAUGAGGUGGUGCCAAUGGGCUACAUUACCUAUUUAAGGUCAUCUACGAACUAUUUUUUGACAAAACAAUACAAAGGCGGAUUUAGCAGUAAACUAAGCAAGAACACUCGGUUUAACACAUGCUCUGGGACA